rfam:Salmonella enterica subsp. enterica serovar Macclesfield str. S-1643 chromosome, complete genome.
UCUGGCGGCAGUAGCGCGGUGGUCCCACCUGACCCCAUGCCGAACUCAGAAGUGAAACGCCGUAGCGCCGAUGGUAGUGUGGGGUCUCCCCAUGCGAGAGUAGGGAACUGCCAGAC